UAGGGAAUUUUGCGCAAUGGGCGAAAGCCUGACGCAGCAACGCCGCGUGAUCGAUGAAGCCCUUCGGGGUGUAAAGAUCUGUCAGUGGGGACGAAACUUGACGGUACCCACAGAGGAAGCACCGGCUAACUCCGUGCCAGCAGCCGCGGUAAUACGGAGGGUGCAAGCGUUGUCCGGAAUCAUUGGGCGUAAAGAGUUCGUAGGCGGUAUAUUAAGUCUGGUGUUAAAUCCUGAGGCUCAACCUCAGAUCGGCACCGGAUACUGGUAAACUUGAAUGUGGUAGAGGUAAAGGGAAUUCCUGGUGUAGCGGUGAAAUGCGUAGAUAUCAGGAAGAACACCGGUGGCGUAAGCGCUUUACUGGGCCAUUAUUGACGCUGAGGAACGAAAGCCGGGGGAGCGAAUG
rnacentral:rRNA from 1 species